UUGGCACUGCUGGAACUGGCGUUCAUUUAUGAGUUUUGCUUUCCUAAGCAAAAUUUUGCGGUUGCAGCGUAUCUUCCAUAAAUUUGAUUAUUCGAAGCGUUUCUUUUAUUUACCCCAAGGAGACAGUUGCUGAUUUUGUUGGUUUAUCUGCUAUACAGAUCAGAAAACUUGUUCGCUUUGCCCAUCCAGAGAUGUCGCCGUUGGAGUACGAGCGCGUGAUGGUCGAGCAGAAACCAGACUCGUCGGAAGCCUUCCAAUGCGCAAUUUAUUCCCGAUGAUUAUGGGCAGUGGAGUGACUGGUCAGAAUGCUUUACCGAUGGCUAUGAAGAAGGAUACCAGUACGCGUUGCGUGAUUGUACUCAUCCGACACCAUGGAACAGCGGACGAUACUGCAGUGGAAAGCCUUUUGAACCACGAGGUUGCAAUUUCUGCAAAACAAGCGAAGGUUGUGAAUGGGGAUGCUGUCACCAUGCAUUCAUAAAUGUCGAUGAGGUGGCCGCAUUCGCCAUGGGACUUGUAAUGUCCCUACACAGCAGCGUUAUGAUGAAAUAUGUAAUUCUUACCCUUACGAAGAUGAGGCAUGUACGAGUAAUACGGACGCUUGUGACGAUCAGGAAGUUGAAGCGCUGUUAUCCUCUUGAAAUCCUUGGAGCAUACGGCGUUAGAACAAGAAUACGUUAUAAGUACUCUGUGUCCACCUGGAAAGGAUUCUGAUGCCUGCCACGGUCACGACUUCGAAAUCGAAAGAUGUCAAAAACGUUCUUGUUCAAACAUUUUAGGUUAAGAUGUGGCUUAGAUUCGGCCACUCAUCCCCAACCAGCGACAGCGGCAGUGCUAAGUGCGACAGCCGGUCCCCAUCCCUGGGAUGUUGUCGGUGCAGGGUAUAAUUUCUCAGGCUUGCAUUCAACAUAGCUCGUAUUUUGAGCUACAACAGUUCCUCCUACCAGAAAAAUCAUUCAUACAGCGAAAGUUAACACAAAAAUCAGUUGCACAUUUACCUUUUAGACCGUACGGCGUUGUGUCCCAUCCGGAUGUUGUCCGAUAUCCCAAUGUCGAUGAUGGCCCCCGGCCUUGUGGAGGUACAGUACUGGUUGUUCCACAUCCCGGUGGUUUCGGUGUCGUCGAGCUCCAACCAGUAAAAGUUAAUAACGGCCCCCAUCCCGCUGUUGUGCCGUAGGAAAGCUGCGCACUCUGUUAGUCAUAUCUAUAUGCAGACGUUGUUCCCCAUCUUAGAGGCGGCAGCGUGGUUACAGAACCCAAGCCGACAGGUGGCCCGUAGCGUUGUGGUCCGCUAACAACCAUUUGAUUAACUUAAACAGCGGACUAAAUAUACUGCAGACCUCCUUGUAGUCGGGAAACAUUAUACGGCUUCGCUCCAGGCGGCACUGAACCUCACCCCUGCAUCAGCUGUCCAGGUUGCACAAACGGGGCAGACACAUUUCGUGGUCCAUACUCGAUGUCAGCUUUGCUUUGGACUUGUCUAAAAGAUUCGUUGUCGGUUGGUCAGAAUGGGGACCGUGGAGCGGUUGUACGAAGAGUAUGGAGGUCAGAGAUUUGAAACUCAUGUGUGCGUCCCAAAAUAGAAAAGAGUGUACUGGACCCGGCAGGCGAAUGAUACCUGCAACAGACAAGCCUGUAGCGGUGAAGUUGACCUUUUAAUCAUUGACCUUUUAAUCGUAUUAGCAUUGUGUAAAAUUCGUUGCGCUCUUCAGAAACUCCGGCUUGUGUUAAGCAGCAUAAAGGAGACCAUGACUGUGGAAGUAUUCGAAAUUUUGUACUCCCGAUGGGUCCAGUUCGGUAUGCAUUGGCGGCUCUGAUUGUAAUUUUGAUUCUGCGGCUCCAUAAACACAAGCCACUUGCCGACGGGGCUUCGAGUCUGUUUCUUGGGUGCAGCCAAACUGUCCAUAUCCUCCUUGUGAACCGGUGCCUAAAUGUGUUUGUCCUCUGUCUUGUCCUUCUGGAUAUCUUAAGCACCCUCUUACCCGUGAACAACGUGCGCCUGUAAUUCGACUUGCGAAGCAAUCAACUGUAAGCCGCGACAACGGUGUGUUCCUCUGGAUCGUCUAUGCCAGUCGUGCCCUAGUGUCGGCCUGUGUUCAGAUGGAGAGUGUUUCCUGCUGCAGCUGUACGACAAGAUGGUUGAGAACGGGAUAGGCUGGUCAUUGUCCAUUUACGUCGUUCCCCCAAAUGCCAAUUCGCCACCGAUGCCAGGGCGUAAUUACAGUCAAAUGGCCUAUGCCUGGACAAAAUUACACAGGACGAAACACAUAUUCCCGAGGAGCGCCGAAGCCACUUCCGCUAGCGUACGGAGCGACACGGCCUGUUGAGAUUCCUAAAGUGCCUCAAACGCCAGUCGCCAGCAAUCCUCCAGCGGCAUCCAAGGCAAUGCCUGCCCCGCGUCGGGAUGUCAGACCCCAAAAUUCGUACCCAGAACGCGGCUGACGUUCCCAAAGGCCAAAGUUGAUCUAGUUCUAAUGCAACGCUAUCGUGAAUCUGUACACGCGGAUUAUGAUGAUUAUGACGAAGAUACGAGAAAAAUCCCCUACUGAACUGCGCGAAAGAAGCAUUAUGUGACUUUUGGGUAUCCGGUGAUUUUUAAUUGUGUUUGAAUUUGCAAUAGUAUUAUGGUUUUUUAUUCUCAUAGCAGAGAUUUUUGUUUUGUUCUAAGUGAGUAUUACUGUAUUAGUGAUUAUUUAUUUUUAGACUUAUUUUUACAACGUGUGAUCCCCUUUUUGGACUACGUAUAGGAUUUAGGGUGAACUUUUUAUUUCCGGUGUCUUUGCAAAUCUGGUAUAAUAUUCAUGUGCUGUAUUGGCUUCUAUAGAAGUAAAGCUAUCUGAAAGGUAACUUA